UGACCGAUAGCGUACGAGUACCGUGAGGGAAAGGUGAAAAGCACCCCGGGAGGGGAGUGAAAGAGUUCCUGAAACCGUGCGCCCGCGAACCGUCGGAGCCCCCUGGUGGGGUGACGGCGUGCCUAUCGAAAAAUGAGUCUGCGAGUCAGUGGCAUGUGGCGAGCAUAAGCCGUGUGGUGUAUGCGUAGCGAAAGCGAGUCUUAAAAGGCGUUUUGAGUCGCGUGUCCUGGACCCGAAGCGGGAUGAUCUAGCCCUGGUCAGGUUGAAGCGUGGGUAAGACCGCGUGGAGGACCGCACCCACUUAGGUUGAAAACUGAGGGGAUGAACUGGGGUUAGGGGUGAAAGGCCAAUCAAAUUCCGUGAUAGCUGGUUCUCUUCGAAAUGCAUUUAGGUGCAGCGUCGGUUGAUUGCGUGUGGGGGGUAGAGCUACUGGAUGCUUGCGGGCCCGUACCGGGUACCAACAGCAACCAAACUCCGAAUACCCAUCGCGUCUAUUCCGGCAGUGAGUCGGCGGGGGAUAAGCUCCGUCGUCGAGGGGGAGACAGCCCUGACCGUCGUCUAAGGUCCCCAAGCGCGUGCUAAGUGGGAAAGGAUGUGGAGUCGCAUAGACAGCCAGGAGGUUGGCUCAGAAGCAGCCAUCCUUGAAAGAGUGCGUAACAGCUCACUGGUCUAGUGGUUCCGCGCCGACAAUGUAGCGGGGCUCAAGCACGCCACCGAAGACGCGGAUGCAACGUUGUGUUGCGUGGUAGGAGAGCGUCCCACACCGGGGCGAAGCGGCGGGGGAACCCGGCCGUGGACUGUGUGGGAGUGAGAAUGCAGACAUGAGUAGCGAGAGCAGGGUGAGGAUCCCUGCCGCUGGAAGACCAAGGGUUCCAGGGCCACGUUCGUCGUCCCUGGGUGAGUCGGGUCCUAAGGCGAGGCCGACAGGCGUAGUCGAAUGGAUGAACGGGUCGAUAUUCCCGUACCGGCUUUCGGACCGACCAGCAGCCCGUGUGAACAAGGGCCAUCCGAUACGGUUGAUGGGGGCUUCGGCCUUCUGAUUCCGUUGCUGUUUGGCCUGGACGCGCAUGGGUUGAGCGUUUCAGGAGUGACGCGGACGGGUAGCCGGCCGGGGAGGUGGUUUUCCCUGGUCAAGCGUGUGGCCCCGCCCCCAGGCAAAUCCGGGGGCAUGAUGGGGUGAGGCGUGAUGAUGGGCGCUGUUCAGGCGUGAUAUCCGGUGAUCCCGUCGGCCGAGAAAAGCUUCGGCGCGAGGUCCGUUGCCGCCCGUACCCCAAACCGACACAGGUGGUCUGGUAGAGUAUACCGAAGCGAUCGAGCGAAUCCUGGUCAAGGAACUCGGCAAAUUGCUCCCGUGCCUUCGGCAUAAGGGAGACCCCCGGCGGUUCCGGCCCCGUUCGCGGGCCGCGGGCGGCUGGGGGUGGCACAGGCCAGGGGGUAGCGACUGUUUACCAAAAACACAGGUGCAUGCCAAGACGCAAGUCGCCGUAUAUGCACUGACGCCUGCCCGGUGCCGGAAGGUUAAGAGGAUCCAUCAGCGUCCCCUCGCGGGAUGCGAAGUGGUGAAUUCAAGCCCCGGUAAAACGGCGGUGGUAACUAUAACCAUCCUAAGGUAGCGAAAUUCCUUGUCGGGUAAGUUCCGACCUGCACGAAUGGCGUAACGACUUCCCCGCUGUCUCGACCAGGAGCUCGGCGAAAUUGCAGUACGAGUAAAGAUGCUCGUUAAGCGCAGAAGGACGAAAAGACCCCGGGACCUUUACUAUACCUUGGUAUUGGCAUCAGGUGCGGAUUGUGUAGCAUAGGCGGGAGGCUUCGAAGCCACGGCGCCAGCCGUGGUGGAGCCGGCCAGUGAAAUACCGCUCUGUCCCCAUCUGAUGCCUAACCCGGACAAGUGAGCCUUGUCGGGGAGAGUGCCUGGCGGGUAGUUUAACUGGGGCGGUUGCCUCCCAAAGAGUAACGGAGGCGCUCAAAGGUCCGCUCGGCCCGGUUGGCAAUCGGGUGUCGAGUGUAAUCGCACAAGCGGGCUUGACUGCGAGAUCGACGGAUCGAGCAGGGACGAAAGUCGGAGAUAGUGAUCCGGUGCCGGCGUACGGACGCGGCAUCGCUCAACGGAUAAAAGGUACCCCGGGGAUAACAGGCUGAUCAUUCCCAAGAGUCCAUAUCGACGGGAUGGUUUGGCACCUCGAUGUCGGCUCGUCGCAUCCUGGGGCUGGAGCAGGUCCCAAGGGUUCGGCUGUUCGCCGAUUAAAGCGGCACGCGAGCUGGGUUCAGAACGUCGUGAGACAGUUUGGUCUCUAUCCUCUGCGCUCGUUGGAAUCCUGAGGAGGCCUGCCCAUAGUACGAGAGGACCUGGGUGGACGAACCUCUGGUAUGCCAGUUGUCCCGCCAGGGGCACGGCUGGUUGGCCACGUUCGGGAGGGAUAACCGCUGAAAGCAUCUAAGCGGGAAGCCCGCUCCAAGA
rnacentral:rRNA from 1 species